rnacentral:rRNA from 1 species
GACGAACGCUGGCGGCGUGCUUAACACAUGCAAGUCGAACGGAAAGGCCCUGCUUUUGUGGGGUGCUCGAGUGGCGAACGGGUGAGUAACACGUGCGUAACCUGCCCUUGACUUUGGGAUCACUUCAGGAAACUGGGGCUAAUACCGGAUAGGAGCUCCUGCUGCAUGGUGGGGGUUGGAAAGUUUCGGCGGUUGGGGAUGGACUCGCGGCUUAUCAGCUUGUUGGUGGGGUAGUGGCUUACCAAGGAUUUGACGGGUAGCCGGCCUGAGAGGGUGACCGGCCUCAUUGGGGCUGGGAGACGGCCCAGCCUCCUACGGGAGGAAGCAGUGGGGAACAUUGCACAAUGGGCCGAAGCCAGAUGCAGCAACGCCGCGUGCGGGGUGACGGCCUUCGGGUUGUAAACCGCUUGCGCCUGUGACGAAGCGUGAGUGACGGUAAUGGGUAAAGAAGCACCGGCUAACUACGUG